AUGUGCUGGCUCACAGCUAGACGGCGGCGUCAGGCUGAGGAGGAGCGCCGGAGACAGAUGAUGAGGCAAAGAGAAGAGGCGGAGAGGCGAAGAGAAGAGGCGGAGAAGACGCCCUGCUUCCGCUUGAGAAGGAACCUGGCCGCCUACGAGAUGGAGGAGGGAAGGAGGAUAAGAAGGGCCGCCGAGAGGGCCAAGGCGAUGGAGAACACCGGGGCGGCUGACAAGGUACAAGGGAAGGGGAAGAACGUGUCACCACAGGAGGUGAGGAUGGAGAAGGAGAAGACGAGGAAGGAGAAGAAAGAGGAGGAGAGGCUCAAGGCGAAGGUCGAGAAGGAGAGGAAGAAGCGCGAGGAGGAGGCCAAGAAGAAACGAGAAAGAGAGGCCAAAGAGAAGGAGUUGGAGAAGAAGAGGAAAGAGGCGUCCAAGAAGAGAAAGACCGCCAAGGGAAAAUGA
rnacentral:rRNA from 1 species